rnacentral:misc_RNA from 1 species
UCAAACUUGGUCAUUUAGAGGAAGUAAAAGUCGUAACAAGGUUACCGUAGGUGAACCUGCGGUAGGAUCAUUAUCAAAUUAUCCAAACCAUUUUUUUAAUGGAUUUUUUCCAUUAAAAAAAAUAAUUCAUCUUUGUGUGGAUUAUAUAGAAGAAGUUUAAAAAAAUAGAAUAAUUUAAAAAAUUGUUCUAUUUUUUUUCUCGUCUUCAAAAAAAAUUUAUAUAAACUCGUCUUACUUUUUUGUCUGAAACAAAAACGAUUUUUUAAUCAUAAAAAGAAAAAUACAACUUUCAACAACGGAUCUCUUGGUUCUCGCAUCGAUGAAGAACGCAGC